rnacentral:tRNA from 2 species
GCGGGCGUGCUGGAAUUGGUAGACAGGCACCGCUCAGGCCGGUGUGUUCGAAAGAGCGUGGAGGUUCGAGUCCUCUCGCCCGCA